rnacentral:piRNA from 1 species
UAUAUAAAUGUGGCGGCCCUCAGGUC